AAUCCCAAUGAUGAAUGUAUUUGCAAAUUUAAAAGUAGUGGACUGACGUCCUUUGAUGAAUAAUUAAUUCAGAGGGAUA